rnacentral:lncRNA from 1 species
GAACUUCUGCAUGCUGCAGGCAUGGCCAAACAAAACAAAAUACAAAAGUCCAACCAUAUGCUCUUUAUGAGAGAGACAUCUAAAACAUAUGGAUACCAGUAGAUUGAAAUAAUGGAAUUAAGUUACACCGUGGUAGGUAUUAUUACAUAAAACUUAAGGCAGAAUGCAUUACUAAGAGUAAAGGUCAUUGUAUAAUAAAAAUUCCCAAUCACCAGAAGUAUCUACUAAUUCUAGAUUCUACUUACGACUUCAAAACACAUGAAGCAAAAAUUGGUCAUCUACAAGGAGAAAUAUAUAAAUGUACAAUCACGGCGAGAGAUUUUAACACAUUAAAAUCCCGAGGGCAAUCCUUACCUCGUGCAGGAUGAGAACCAAGCAGUAGAAAAAUAAUCACCAUGUCACCCUCAAGUGGUGAUUCUACAUGGCUCUUCAGACAGUCCCCAGAAAAGUAAAGCCCAUUUCCUCUCAGCAGAGAUCAGCUCAGUAGAACAUUGAAUUGGAUUGUCUUCCUUCCUUGUCUUGCUCUCCCCAGACCCCGUUCUUUUUCCCUUGGACUCAUCCCAGAGUAAAUUCUUGCAUGCAAAGUACUUCUCUCAACCCUGCUACUUUGUGGACCCAGGCUAAGACACUUGGUGAUACAAGCAGUUCUACAAACAAACCGUCCAAAUGGAUUCUAGUAUUGGACCAACUGGAUCCAGUAAGGAUCCCAGUCAUGUUGGUAAAUGGGGUGACAUUAACCCUUGGCACGCAGCAGCAUCACAGUUGCUGAGGUUUUCACCAGCAGUGAAUUGGAAUGGUGAAUUCGGAAGAUGAGGCAUUGCUUUAUGUAGUGGCAAUUCAUAAAAAAAUACGUGGUCAAUGUUAAUUAUAGGGAAUGUAGAGCUGGCUGACUCUGGUUGCUGGUCUUUAGAAGUCUUGUGAGAGGAGAGGAAAAUGGCAGCUUGAUUGGCCAACUGUCAACCUCAAGGAAUGCUGUGCAACUGGGAAAGUUUCCAGGACAACAGAGAAAUGUCCCUCUCCCCCCAACAGCCCUAGGAAGAUAGUUGCCAUUCAUCCUAGGCUUUAAUUGUGAGUACAGCUCGGUUACCAAGGAGAACACAGCCUUAAGGAGACUCUGAGGUCAGUGUCAGGGCCCAGCUAAGGAAACAGCAGACCUUGAGACAUGGGGUAAGGGUAUUUGAAUGGACAAAUCUGAGACCCUUGAACCCCACAUUCCUCUGAUCCCAGGAACUGUCCCUCCUCUUUCCUGGAGAAGGAAUGAUCUUCCCUGGCUGCAGACACUGCGAAGACACCACUAGAGGCAGGAGCUUCACAAGGUGGGGUUCGUCCUAAGAUCUGCCUCUACCUCCUUUGUUUCCUCCAGACCAGCCAUCAAGUCAGGCGCAGCCCAAGCAAGAUGAUCCAGCUCCUCCUUUCGGGAGAUACCGUGUGUACUCCAAGGGUCGAAAGUGUUGGUUAACAGGCACUAAAGGUGAACCAGAGACCUCAUGUUGGACUGGGUCUUAAGGAGCAGCCAAGGAAAGAUGCCUCCUUGUGUUUCAGUUUCUUCAACUGGCAAAUCUGAUUACGAGUGCCUGUCCAACCUACUUUAUAUACUUAUUAGAGUAAAUGAAGAAAUUAAUAUUAUAGUGAACUCUGCUAGGGACUGUACUAGGCACUUCACGUAAAUUAUUUAAUUAGGAUAAAAUUGGGCACGUGUAAACACUUAAUCUAGUUCUAAACUUGUUUAGAACACAAACACAACAUUGUAAUCAACUACACGCCAAUACAUUUUUUAAAAGAAGACUUAAAUGUGUUAUUUUUAAUAGCAUGCCCUAGGAAAAAUGCAGAUUUGUGAAACCUUGUUGCCUAAAAGGAAAGAAGAAAAGGAAGCCGGUGUUUCAAAAACUCAGACAUAUUAGAAUAUGGCAUUGAGUAAGCUGUUGUCUUGUUUGGGGGAAGGUGGACCAUCUGAAGAGGGCUUUAGGGACAGUUCUAGUCAUUGACCUUGGGAGAAGCAGGGUAGAAACAGUGCUGCUGCGGAAGCUGAGAGAGCAGUUCUGUGUCCAGUGGAGCACAGUGAACUCCUGGGUGGCACCUGUGGUGUCUUGGGUAACGCAUGGCCUCCCACCCAGACUGCCUCGGUUGGAAUCCCAGCUCUGGCGCUCAGCCCACUGGGGGAUAUUGGACAGGUAGUUACAAAACUCCAUUUUAUGGAGUUCCCUGGUGGCACAGCAGGUGAAGAAUUUGACCUUGGUAGUGCUGCAGCUCAGGUCACUGGUGUGGCAUGGGUUCCACCUCUGGCCUGGGAACUUCCGUAUGCCGGGGACACGG